ACCGGGGGAACUGAAACAUCUAAGUACCCCGAGGAAAAGAAAUCAACCGAGAUUCCCCCAGUAGCGGCGAGCGAACGGGGAGCAGCCCAGAGCCUGAAUCAGUGUGUGUGUUAGUGGAAGCGUCUGGAAAGGCGCGCGAUACAGGGUGACAGCCCCGUACACAAAAAUGCACAUGCUGUGAGCUCGAUGAGUAGGGCGGGACACGUGGUAUCCUGUCUGAAUAUGGGGGGACCAUCCUCCAAGGCUAAAUACUCCUGACUGACCGAUAGUGAACCAGUACCGUGAGGGAAAGGCGAAAAGAACCCCGGCGAGGGGAGUGAAAAAGAACCUGAAACCGUGUACGUACAAGCAGUGGGAGCACGCUUAGGCGUGUGACUGCGUACCUUUUGUAUAAUGGGUCAGCGACUUAUAUUCUGUAGCAAGGUUAACCGAAUAGGGGAGCCGAAGGGAAACCGAGUCUUAACUGGGCGUUAAGUUGCAGGGUAUAGACCCGAAACCCGGUGAUCUAGCCAUGGGCAGGUUGAAGGUUGGGUAACACUAACUGGAGGACCGAACCGACUAAUGUUGAAAAAUUAGCGGAUGACUUGUGGCUGGGGGUGAAAGGCCAAUCAAACCGGGAGAUAGCUGGUUCUCCCCGAAAGCUAUUUAGGUAGCGCCUCGUGAAUUCAUCUCCGGGGGUAGAGCACUGUUUCGGCAAGGGGGUCAUCCCGACUUACCAACCCGAUGCAAACUGCGAAUACCGGAGAAUGUUAUCACGGGAGACACACGGCGGGUGCUAACGUCCGUCGUGAAGAGGGAAACAACCCAGACCGCCAGCUAAGGUCCCAAAGUCAUGGUUAAGUGGGAAACGAUGUGGGAAGGCCCAGACAGCCAGGAUGUUGGCUUAGAAGCAGCCAUCAUUUAAAGAAAGCGUAAUAGCUCACUGGUCGAGUCGGCCUGCGCGGAAGAUGUAACGGGGCUAAACCAUGCACCGAAGCUGCGGCAGCGACGCUUAUGCGUUGUUGGGUAGGGGAGCGUUCUGUAAGCCUGCGAAGGUGUGCUGUGAGGCAUGCUGGAGGUAUCAGAAGUGCGAAUGCUGACAUAAGUAACGAUAAAGCGGGUGAAAAGCCCGCUCGCCGGAAGACCAAGGGUUCCUGUCCAACGUUAAUCGGGGCAGGGUGAGUCGACCCCUAAGGCGAGGCCGAAAGGCGUAGUCGAUGGGAAACAGGUUAAUAUUCCUGUACUUGGUGUUACUGCGAAGGGGGGACGGAGAAGGCUAUGUUGGCCGGGCGACGGUUGUCCCGGUUUAAGCGUGUAGGCUGGUUUUCCAGGCAAAUCCGGAAAAUCAAGGCUGAGGCGUGAUGACGAGGCACUACGGUGCUGAAGCAACAAAUGCCCUGCUUCCAGGAAAAGCCUCUAAGCAUCAGGUAACAUCAAAUCGUACCCCAAACCGACACAGGUGGUCAGGUAGAGAAUACCAAGGCGCUUGAGAGAACUCGGGUGAAGGAACUAGGCAAAAUGGUGCCGUAACUUCGGGAGAAGGCACGCUGAUAUGUAGGUGAAGUCCCUCGCGGAUGGAGCUGAAAUCAGUCGAAGAUACCAGCUGGCUGCAACUGUUUAUUAAAAACACAGCACUGUGCAAACACGAAAGUGGACGUAUACGGUGUGACGCCUGCCCGGUGC
rnacentral:rRNA from 1 species